CCGGGCCCUGCCUCCCACCUCUCCUCCCAAUCACCCUUCAUUCCUUCCAGUCUUGGUUGGCCUCUGCGAGGUCUUCCUCCGUCCCCAGUCACUGGUCUCCCUGAUGACGCCUCCCUUUUUCAUCCAAGACCCCACAUAUGUGAGAGAUCCUGCCUACCCUGGAAGAUGGCACUGUCUCAACUUCCAGCGUGGGGACAGAGCUCUCUCGCUGCAGGGCCCGGAAGUUUCCUGUCCAGUUGGCUCCUUUUGGUUUUGCUCCACACGAAACAGGUGCUCACGGUGGUUCCAAGCGAGUUCUCGUUCCGCCCUCCACGCCUUGAAAAUUUCGUCCAUUCUUAAGUAUCCAGCUAUCUUUCCGAAUCUCUCCAGCCAAGGCUCGGGCUCACAUUUACUCGUGUCUGCUGGACAGCUCCACCUGGAUCGUCUACCAGCCCUUCAAAUUCAAGUAGUCCAAACCCUUCACCUUUCUCCCCAAACCUGGGUGCUUGUUCUCUUUCUGCUUGAGUAAAUGCCAUCUUCGUGCCAGAAAUGUCAGCUCCUCUCUCCUUUGUUCCUUUCCUCGAUUCGACAGUUCACCAUGCCUUGACAUGUGCGCCUCUUCAAGUCCUUCCUCCUUGCCAUACUGUGCUGCCUUGUGCCAGUGAAGACAGAUAAUGAUGGCAUGUCACACCUUCCUUGAGUCUCAAGCAGCAAGCACCAGAGUCAUCUGGAGGGCUUGUUACACACUGAUUGCUAAGCCCUACUUUCAUGACUGUGACUCACAGGACUUGGGUUAGACCCAAGAGUGUGCAUUUCCAACAACUUUCCAGGUGAGGCUGAUGCUGCCCAUCUGAGGGCUGCACUGAAAACUACUGCCCUCCCAUAGUUAAGAAGAAAGACUAAGCUGGCAUGGUAGCUUAAUCCCAACAUGCGGGAGGCAGAGGUAAGAGGAUCACCUUGUGUUGGAGGGCAGCAUGGGACUACAGAGUGAGUGCCAGGUCAUCCUGGGCUAGAGUGAGACUUUACCUCCAUAAAAAAGA